CGCGGUUAUACAAAUUAUAUAAAUAAAUUUUAUUAUUUUGUAGUUAAAUGUUAAAUGUAAAUAAAAUAUUAUUUUUAAAGGUGAAAUUUAUUAAAAUAAUUUAAAUUUAUUUAAUUAUUUUUUGAAGCUAUUAAAUUUUAUUAAUAAACUAGGAUUAGAUACCCUAUUAUUUAAAACUUAAAUUAAAAUAAAAAAUUAGGUAGUAAUAGAUAUAAUCUUGAAACUUAAAAAAUUUGGCGGUAUUUUAGUCUAAUUAGAGGAAUCUGUUCCGUAAUCGAUAAUCCACGAUAAAUUUUACAUAAUUUUAUUUAAUUUGUAUAUCGUCGUUAUAAGAAAAUUUUAUAAGAAUAAAAAUUUUCUAAAAUUUUAAUUAAAAUUUAUUUCAGAUCAAGGUGCAAUUUAUAAUUAUGAGGAAAUGGAUUACAAUAAAUUUAUUUGAAUUGGAUAAUAAGAUGAAUUUUUUAUUUGAAAAUGGAUUUAAUAGUAAUUUAAAUUAUAUAAUUUUUUUGAUUUUAGCUCUAAAAUAUGUACAUAUCGCCCGUCACUCUCUUUAUUUAAAAAGAGAUAAGUCGUAACAAAGUAGAUGUACUGGAAAGUGUAUCUAGAAUGAUUUU
rnacentral:rRNA from 1 species